rnacentral:rRNA from 1 species
GCGGUGCGCGUCUGGAGGACCCGGUGUAUCUUGAAUGUCAAAACGACUCUCGGCAACGGAUAUCUCGGCUCUCGCAUCGAUGAAGAACGUAGCGAAAUGCGAUACUUGGUGUGAAUUGCAGAAUCCCGUGAACCAUCGAGUCUUUGAACGCAAGUUGCGCCCGAAGCCAUUAGGCCGAGGGCACGUCUGCCUGGGCGUCACGC